GCCUGGCUGGCUCAGUGAGAAGAGUGUGUGACUCUUGAUCUCCGGGUAAUAAGUUCGAGUCUCAUGUUGGGUG
rnacentral:tRNA from 1 species